AAGAUUAAGCCAUGCAUGUCUAAGUAUAAGCAAUUAUACAGUGAAACUGCGAAUGGCUCAUUAAAUCAGUUAUCGUUUAUUUGAUAGUACCUUACUACUUGGAUAUCCGUGGUAAUUCUAGAGCUAAUACAUGCUUAAAAUCCCGACCUCUGGAAGGGAUGUAUUUAUUAGAUAAAAAAUCAAUGUCUUCGGACUCUUUGAUGAUUCAUAAUAACUUUUCGAAUCGCAU
rnacentral:rRNA from 1 species